AUUGAACGCUGGCGGCAUGCUUUACGCAUGCAAGUCGAACGGCAGCGCGGGCUUCGGCCUGGCGGCGAGUGGCGAACGGGUGAGUAAUACAUCGGAACGUGCCCAGUAGUGGGGGAUAGCUCGGCGAAAGCCGGAUUAAUACCGCAUACGACCUGAGGGUGAAAGCGGGGGAUCUUCGGACCUCGCGCUAUUGGAGCGGCCGAUGGCAGAUUAGCUAGUUGGUGGGGUAAAGGCCUACCAAGGCGACGAUCUGUAGCUGGUCUGAGAGGACGACCAGCCACACUGGGACUGAGACACGGCCCAGACUCCUACGGGAGGCAGCAGUGGGGAAUUUUGGACAAUGGGCGAAAGCCUGAUCCAGCAAUGCCGCGUGUGUGAUGAAGGCCUUCGGGUUGUAAAGCACUUUUGGCGGGAACGAAAAGGACUGUGCCAAUACCACGGUUCGAUGACGGUACCCGCAGAAUAAGCACCGGCUAACUACGUG
rnacentral:rRNA from 1 species